GUGAAUCAUCGAAUUUUUGAACGCAAAUUGCACUCUCUUCGGAGAGUAUGCCUGUUUGAGGGUCAGCCUAAAAAAAAAAUCGACAUAGUCGCUUUUUCGCGGUGACAUUCGUCGGAAAUUGGGUCAUUUUAAACCUUUGGGUUUUAAGCGGUUUAAAAUUUUUUUUAUGAUUCCACGAACGUUUCUAAGAUUUACUUCUUACUUGUUUUAGGUAUUCAAUCUUUUUUAGACUUG
rnacentral:misc_RNA from 1 species